CCUUGGGAAGAAACACCAGGGGACAGUAAGCAUUUGCAGCAGCACACCCCGGGAGCACCCCUUCCUCCAUCCCUCUCCCACAACACUGCCACAUGCAUGAGCACACAGAGUAGAAACUUUUCUUUAACUUACAAAAUCAGACACAAACUUAAAUGUGUUUUGAUUUUACUGAGGCGCAGACCUGCAGCCUCCUUCACUCAAUGCUCUUUAUUAACUAAGCAUUUUGUAUCCCCUCACCCAAUUUCAUCUUACAUACACAAGUCUCACUGUGACUCAGCCACUUGUGUCUUCCUAUAAGACACUUGGUGUGUCUUCCUAUGACACACUCCUACCACUAUGAGUUUAAGAGUACCAAGUACUGACAGUUUGUGUCAGUGCCCUACAUGCUCAAGAGCACAAGCUGCCUAGAAGGUUUUCAAGGCAGUAUCACUACCAGUCCUGCUAUACCAACACUGAGUCCCCAUCUACCUCGUUCCUGGGAACCCAUGUUACACACAGGGUGUGAAAAUGAACCAAAACACUUGGCUACCACACUGGGGCUGGAGUGGCAUGCACAGUGCCAGGCAGUGCCUUAUCCCUUCAGGAGCUCAAGUGCAUGUCUUAGCAGCUGCUGCCCAGGACCCGUGGAGCUCUGCGAGGUGAGUUGUGCUCGCUCUUGCUCCACCAAGUGACACAUGUUUGAGGCAUAGUGGUCAGUGCAAAGAUGCAACCGGCAAGUUACCG